CUGCAAUUUCUAGAUUAAUUUU
rnacentral:snRNA from 1 species